rnacentral:rRNA from 1 species
CACGUAGGGUGCGAGCGUCGUCCGGAAUUAUUGGGCGUAAAGAGCUCGUAGGCGGUUGGGUAAGUCGGGUGUGAAAACUCCAGGCUCAACUUGGAGACGCCACCCGAUACUGCUCUGACUUGAGUUCGGUAGGGGAGUGGGGAAUUCCUGGUGUAGCGGUGAAAUGCGCAGAUAUCAGGAGGAACACCGGUGGCGAAGGCGCCACUCUGGGCCGAAACUGACGCUGAGGAGCGAAAGCGUGGGUAGCAAACAGG